rnacentral:rRNA from 1 species
UACGUAGGGGGCUAGCGUUGUCCGGAAUCAUUGGGCGUAAAGAGCGUGUAGGCGGCUCGGUAAGUCCGCUGUGAAAGUCCAGGGCUCAACCCUGGAAUGCCGGUGGAAACUGUCGAGCUAGAGUCCGGAAGAGGCGAGUGGAAUUCCUGGUGUAGCGGUGAAAAUGCGCAGAUAUCAGGAGGAACACCAAUGGCGAAGGCAGCUCGCUGGGACGUGACUGACGCUGAGACGCGAAAGCGUGGGGGAGCAAACAGG